CCUACGGGAGACAGCAGUGGGGAAUAUUGCACAAUGGGGGAAACCCUGAUGCAGCGACGCCGCGUGAGCGAUGAAGUAUUUCGGUAUGUAAAGCUCUAUCAGCAGGGAAGAAAAUGACGGUACCUGACUAAGAAGCCCCGGCUAACUACGUGCCAGCAGCCGCGGUAAUACGUAGGGGGCAAGCGUUAUCCGGAUUUACUGGGUGUAAAGGGAGCGUAGACGGCGAUGCAAGCCAGAUGUGAAAGCCCGGGGCCCAACCCCGGGACUGCAUUGGAAACUGUUGAACUGGAGUACAGGAGAGGUAAGCGGAAUUCCUAGUGUAGCGGUGAAAUGCGUAGAUAUUAGGAGGAACACCAGUGGCGAAGGCGGCUUACUGGACUGUAACUGACGUUGAGGCUCGAAAGCGUGGGGAGCAAACAGGAUUAGAUACCCUUGUAGUC
rnacentral:rRNA from 1 species